GUAAGGGAGCGAAAAUUAGUAGCGAAGUAGGUGAUUGUACACUGGCGAGAAAAGCUGUAUGAAUUGACAAGGUGCCCGUACCGCAAACCGACACAGGUAGAUGAGGAGAGAAUCCUAAGACCAGCGGGAGAAGUGUUGUUAAGGAACUCGGCAAAAUGACCCCGUAACUUCGGGAUAAGGGGAGCCUACGCGAGUAGGCCGCAGAGAAUAGUCUCAAGCGACUGUUUAGCAAAAACACAGGUCUAUGCUAAAUCGAAAGAUGAUGUAUAUGGGCUGACGCCUGCCCGGUGCUGGAAGGUUAAGGGGAAGUGUUAGAGCAAUCGAAGCACUGAACUUAAGCCCCAGUAAACGGCGGCCGUAACUAUAACGGUCCUAAGGUAGCGAAAUUCCUUGUCAGGUAAGUUCUGACCCGCACGAAUGGCGUAACGACUUGAGAGCUGUCUCAACAACAUACCCGGCGAAAUUGAAGUACUGGUAAAGAUGCCAGUUACCCGUGAUAAGACGGAAAGACCCCAUGGAGCUUUACUGUAACUUGAUAUUGAAUUUUUGUAUUACAUGUACAGGAUAGGUGGGAGACAGAGAACUAAUGCCGCCAGGUGUUAGGGAGUCGAUGUUGGGAUACCACUCUUGUAAUAUGAAGGUUCUAACCUGCACCCGUGAAUCCGGGUGGGGGACACUGUCAGGUGGACAGUUUGACUGGGGCGGUCGCCUCCUAAAAGGUAACGGAGGCGUUCAAAGGUUGGUUCAGCACGGACGGAAAUCGUGCAACGAGUGCAAACGCAUAAACCAGCCUAACUGCGAGACCGACAAGUCAAGCAGUAACGAAAGUUGGAGUUAGUGAUCCGGCGGUAUGAGAGUGGAAUUGCCGUCGCUCAACGGAUAAAAGCUACCCUGGGGAUAACAGGCUGAUCUCCCCCAAGAGUCCACAUCGACGGGGAGGUUUGGCACCUCGAUGUCGGCUCAUCGCAUCCUGGAGCUGUAGUCGGUUCCAAGGGUUGGGCUGUUCGCCCAUUAAAGCGGUACGCGAGCUGGGUUCAGAACGUCGCGAGACAGUUCGGUCCCUAUCUAUCACGGGCGUAGGAAAUUUGAGGAGAGCUGACCUUAGUACGAGAGGACCGGGUUGGACGUACCGCUGGCGCACCUGUUGUUCUGCCAAGGGCAUAGCAGGGUAGCUAAGUACGGACGGGAUAAACGCUGAAGGCAUCUAAGCGUGAAGCCCCCUUCGAGAUAAGAUUUCCCAUAGCGUAGGCUAGUAAGGACCCAUGAAGACUACAUGGUUGAUAGGCCGGAGGUGGAAGUGCAGUAAUGUAUGUAGCUGACCGGUACUAAUAGUCCGAGGGCUUGACCAA
rnacentral:rRNA from 1 species